rnacentral:rRNA from 1 species
GACGAACGCUGGCGGCGUGCUUCACACAUGCAAGUCGAACGAAGUGGCGAACGGGUGAGUAAUACGUGGGGAACAUGCCCUCCUUUUUGGGAUAAGCCUUGGAAACGGGGUCUAAUAACGAAUAGGAGGGGAUGGGCUCGCGGCCUAUCAGCUUGUUGGUGGGGUGAUGGCCUACAAAGGCGGUGCCGGGUAGCCGGCCUGAGAGGGUGACCGGCCAAAUUGGGACUUAGACACGGCCCAGACUCCUACGGGAGGCAGCAGGGGGGAAUAGUGGGCAAGGGGCGCAAGCCUGACCCAGCAACUCCGCGUGAAGGAAGACGGUCUUCGGAUUGUAAACUUCUUUAGACAGGGACGCGGUACCUGUAGAAUAAGCCACGGCUAACUACGUGCCAGCAGCCGCGGUAAUAC